UGGCAUUCGAGUGGCGGACGGGUGGGUAACGCGUGGGUAACCUGCCUUACACAGGGGGAUAACACCUGGAAACAGGUGCUAAUACCGCAUAAGCGCACAGGGCCGCAUGGCCCGGUGUGAAAAACUCCGGUGGUGUAAGAUGGACCCGCGUCUGAUUAGCUUGUUGGCGGGGUAGGGGCCCACCAAGGCGACGAUCAGUAGCCGGCCUGAGAGGGUGGACGGCCACAUUGGGACUGAGACACGGCCCAAACUCCUACGGAAGGCAGCAG
rnacentral:rRNA from 1 species